UUGAAAGGGAAACGAUUGAAGUCAGUCGUACCAGCGGGAAAUCAACCUUUCGAGUGGGGGUUUUGGAGUUUUGAAGAGUUUCAAAACCUUUGAGAUUUCAAAAAUUUCGCUCUUUUGGUGUACUUUCUCGUGGGUAGGUUAACAUCGAUUUUGAUCAUCAUAAAAAGACUGGAGGAAUGUAGCUUCGAUCUUGUAUUGAAGUGUUAUAGCCUUUGGUAAAUGUGAUGAUUAGGAUCGAGGAUUGCAACGAAUACCCUUUUGGGCUAUCCGCCCGAUCUCUGAUACGUGGCCUUGGUAUCGAAAGCUUGCUUAUGGUUUUAAGGUAUUACGGUCAAAAGGUUAGAACGGAUUACAUUCGUUAAGGAUGUUGACGUA
rnacentral:rRNA from 1 species